rnacentral:lncRNA from 1 species
CAUAGAGAAGUUGUAUCAUCCAAGAAGGUGCAUGUACGUAAACUUUGCUCACAUGUUCCAAGCAGUAUUGAGUCACACGUCUGGUUCCAAUCCUUAGAACAAUUGGACUGCAAUGCCUGUGGAUUUUCACUUGAUGAGAUUCUGUUUUCUAAGAUUAAAUACAAACAAAAAAACAGACAUUCACCUCCAAUUAAAUCGAUCGGGAGUUGCCUUGGUCUUCAAAUUUAAAAUGUAAAACAUGAAUAUGUAUGUAUGCUGCUUCAACCAAUCUAGUUCAAGGGUUGUUGGUAUGGUUCUUCCUAUUAGGAAAAUUGAACAUAGAGGAGGAAUCUGCAGACUUUAUAUUUCAGCUUGCAUUCUCUUUUUACAUGAAGAUAAAAAAUGAAGUAAAUACUUUUAAGCGAUAAGUGUUACCUUGGAUUUCUACUCGUAAAUCUGGGCGUAUUUCAUGUAGCUAGCAUUUUGAAUGCGUGAGAUUAUAUGUGGCUGUGCCUGCGAGCCUGUCAGUCAGAAUUCAGAAGCCUGGGUCGUGAAAAUGCACUGUUGAUUGGUUGUGUACUAACUGCUGGAGCUAAAAUGGUCGUAGAUCUUCUUGUGCCUUAACUCAUCACAUGCAGUCCUCCUGCAUAGUUCGAAAAAAGAAAUAAUUCACAAAACAAUACUGAGGAAGUCAUAUAAUGGUAAGAUAAGAACAGCUAGCUAGCCAGCGGCUGAAAGACUCGUUCAGUUAACUGGCUUGUAAUCAUCACCCAGUCGCUCCCAAAAUUAUUCAGUACAGGGCCAAAAUCACAAUCGUCAGUCUCAUGCAAAUCCUUAAUUUCCCAUACCAUUGGACACUCAUCAGGACUAAAUAAAUUAUGAAAAAAGUCAAGUAUGAGAUGUAAGAUUCAGAGUACAGUCUUUAAAAAACCAACUUUUCUUUCACAACAAAAGCCAUCUGAACCAAGUCUGAUGCCCACUAAAAAAACAUUAUAUUUAAUGCACAGAAUUAAACAAGACAAACAAAGCAAAAACAAAAGAGGCAAUGUAAUUGACCAAUGGAUUGCUAUCUUACUUCAUUCAUGGAGUCCAGAAGUGGGAUCAGAUGAGAAACUGAAGCUGGCGCUCCACUCUCUGUUUGUGCAAGAGUGCAAU